UGGGCUCAAGCGAUCUUCCUGUCUCAGCCUCCUGAGUAGUUGGGACUACAGGUGUGCACUACCAUGCCUGGCUAAUUUAAAAAUAUAUAUAUAUAUUUGUAGAGACAGGGUCUCUGAGUCUUUCUAUGUUCCCCAGGCUAGUCUUGAACUCCUGGGCUCAAGCAAUCCUCCUAUCUCAGCCUCCCAAAGUGCUGGAGUUACAGGCAUGAGCCAUUGUGCCCAGCCUCAACUUUUCAAAGAUCAGCAGUCAGAGAGCUCCGCUGUGAAGUCCAGCUUCUUUCAGGCUGGCUAUCUUUGUGUGUCUGUGUUCAUUUCCGCAGCCAGUUCACAUUCAGUCUCUGUUGUUGGCUGGCUGUGUGGGCCUUUGGCAAAUUUCUGAAGCCUCCCAGGCCUCAGUCUCUGCAUCUCUAAAGUGGGGCUAUUAUGAUCAGCCCCUUCAUCACAGAGAUGUAGUGGGAAGUAAAUAAAUGAAUCUACAGCACUUAAGAAAAUGCCUGACUCAGAAAGGCCUCUGUAAACGUCAUCUAUCAGCAGCAGCAUCAUGUUUUGGCUGGGGCAGGCAGUGGGGGCGACAGAACGAGCUCUGGGGCCCUACCAGAAGAUUAGGGGAUGAACGCAGCUUGCAAGGCCAAAGCUGUCCCCAUUUGGUUUUGCCAGCUCUUGCUCAUCCAUGAAAUAAACCGGAUGAAGCCUUCAUCCAGCCCUUGUUUUGAGAAGGAGGCAAGCAGAGAGCGUGGAUUUAAUGUGGCAGAUGGUGCUGUCCUUGAAUUAUGAAACCAAAGGAGGAAAUUAAAGUGCUCCAUUGCAACAGAUAUGGGCCAGCCGGGGCAGAAGGCAGGAGGUGGGGCAGAAAGGAGGGCAGGAAGGAGGUGCUGUAUCAACUGGGCAAUGGCUAUUUUCAAGGGUAGCUGGAGUCCUAAGAUAAUAGAAUUCCGUAGCCCCAUAUAAUUUUAGAAUCUUCAUCUUACAUAGGCAAAUGAGGCUCAGAGAGGGAAAGUGACUGUGAAGGUCACACAGCCAGUUAGUGGCAGAGCAACUCACACGUCCUGAUUCCUUGAACAGUAUUAUUUUCUGCUGCCCCAAGCCAAGGCCAGUGGCAGACCCUGUCUCAGGGCUUCCUGAUUUUGGGCAGCUCUGCUUUUCAGAGGACUUCUCUGGACAGGCACCCAGUGUCCAAAGAGAACCCAGGGUCAGGCAGCACAAUCCCAGGGGCUUCUCUGCAGCUGCUCUCCUCCCAGCACACAGGGAGAUACCAGCCACCGUCCCGGAGCCAUUCGGCCUGGGUCUGAAGCCCAGCAACCCGAGCUCAUUCUGAUGAAGCAAGCUGCCACGCUGUGAGCUGCACUAUGGAAAGGCCCAUGCUGCAUGGCACUGAGGAGGCUCCAGCCAGCAGCCGAUGAGGAGCUGGAUCCUGCCAGCCGCCACGAUAUUUUGCUGAGCGUUCAAGUAUCUCACUGAUCCUUAAGGGUAUCCAUGAAUCCUGAGAUGUGCAGUUAAGUAACUCACCCAGGAAUAGCCAGCCAGCCAGAGGUGUGGCCAGGACCUUCCUGCAGCUCUGCCUCUGAGACCACCUGUAUGCCACAGGGUUCUGACCUUACUCUCACCAGUGGCCCUUUCCAGAAACAGCUGGUCCACUGAGUGAGGACUGACGGUGGAGAAGGCAGAAAACCUGAGAUACUUUAUUGUUCCUGGGGAAAUAUGCCCAGGAAACCUUUCCAGGGAAGUUGAAGAAGCUGCAUGUUGGCUAUGGCAGAGGUGACAUUCUGCCAUUGCUCUCUACUAACAGAACCCCUAUUAUUACUGGGAGCGUCUACCUGCCCCAUAAAUUUCCCAGCCCCUCUUGCCAUAGAGGGUACCCAAUAAGAUGUAAGUUGAAGUCAUUGGGAGAAGCUUCCGGUAAAGAUUUUUUAAAGUGCUGACUCAUCUGAGAGGUGCCUCCUCUUGCACUGCUUGCCCCUUCUUGGUGCCAGGAAUGUGGACAUAAUGGCUGGAGCUGCAGUAGCGUUUCAUGACCAUGCAGUGACCUUGACAGAGGAAGCCACUCUCUAAGGGUAGCAGAGCACAAAGAUAGAGCCUUGUCUUCUUGGAAGGGAUGACUGAGGAGCCAUCAUUCUAGCCUUUGACUUUUUGCAUCAGGAUUUAUUUUAUAUGAGAG
rnacentral:lncRNA from 10 species